rnacentral:lncRNA from 1 species
UCUUGCAACACAUUUUGUCCAGGCGAUUUGUCGAAAUCCAAAAGACCAAAGUUGAUGGAACUUUACUAUAAUAAGGACCCCCAUGUGCAGAGUUGCAGGAAGCAUGGAAUGGUUCAAGAUGGCUGCCGUUACCAUAGAAACAGAACAAAUGUGAAAAAAUACAGUUUUUAUUUUUGGUGAACUGUUUGGAUAUUCUUUUACUCAGAAUCAUUAUAUUUUAAUACAAAGGAGGUGCCCACUAUAUGCAGGUGUUGGGUGAUUUUGGCACUCAUUGGAACUACUAUGUUGCCAUGGAAACUACACCAAAAAUUUCAAAAAUAUCAAAAUGCUCCAAACUUCAUGAAACUUCACAGUAACGAUGAGCAACAUUGGAAGAUGUGGUAUUUGGAGUUAUAUCUGUUGUUACCAUGGAAACAAUGCAAAAAGGUCAAAAAAAUAAAAAUGCUGCAAACUGGAUGAAACUUUACAGAAAUAGUGACUGACAUGUGCAGAGUUGCAUUUUGAAGUUGGAAUUUCCAAAAUGGCCGCCGUAACCAUGGAAACAGCAAAAUUGUCCAAAAUUUCAAAAUGCUCCAAACUUACUGAAAUUUUGCAAAAAUGAUUACUUCCAGGUGUAGAUGCACUCUUUGACUUUAGAAUUUCCAAAAUGGCUGCCGCUCGCCUGGCAAUGGGGGGACGAGGGUGCCAUCCGUUAUUGCUAGCA